rnacentral:rRNA from 1 species
GACAGAGGGGGCAAGCGUUGCUCGGAAUUACUGGGCGUAAAGGGCGCGUAGGCGGAAUGGCAAGUCGGUCGUGAAAUCCUUCGGCUCAACCGAAGAACGUCGAUCGAAACUGCCGUUCUUGAGGAUUGCAGAGGAGACUGGAAUUCCCGGUGUAGCGGUGAAAUGUGUAGAGAUCGGGAGGAACACCGGUGGCGAAGGCGGGUCUCUGGGCAAUUCCUGACGGCUGAGGCGCGAAAGCGUGGGGAGCAAACGGG